UGCAGUCUAGCACUAAUGGCGAGUAUCAAGGUCGUAUUCCUCGGGAAACUGAAAGCCCAGAGUUACGUCUUUGUUCUUUGUUAUAUUAACCUAAGAUGAAAGAUGAAUAAUUUCUAAACUAACUAAUAGCUACAAGCUAAGUUCUAAGGGAGAUGCAGGAAUGAAUGGAUAAAUGAAAUAACCAAGACAUGAAAGCAAACCCAAAGG
rnacentral:lncRNA from 1 species